UACAGAGGUCUCAAGCGUUGUUCGGAUUCAUUGGGCGUAAAGGGUGCGUAGGCGGCGCGGUAAGUCGGGUGUGAAAUCUCGGGGCUUAACUCCGAAACUGCAUUCGAUACUGCCGUGCUUGAGGACUGGAGAGGAGACUGGAAUUUACGGUGUAGCGGUGAAAUGCGUAGAUAUCGGGAGGAACACCGGUGGCGAAGGCGGGUCUCUGGGCAAUUCCUGACGCUGAGGCGCGAAAGCGUGGGGAGCAAACGGG
rnacentral:rRNA from 1 species